UUUUGUGAACCAAGAAAAAUUUAAUAAUCUACAUAUAUUUACAUACAUAAAAUUGAAUUUAGAACAAGUCCAACCAAGAAACGUUCGGGUUGUGUUGUGUGUUGUGUUGUUGCUUUGCGUUGAGUUGUUGGGUGGUUUUUGGGUUGCGUUGAGUCAUUGGGUUGUGUGUUCAGUUGCGUUGCGUUGCGUUCUGUUGAGUUGUGGGUUGAGUUGUGUUGGGUUGAGUUGCGUUGGGUUGAGUUGAGUUGCGUUGGGUUGAGUUGUGGGUUGAGUUGUUGAGUUGCGUUGGGUUGAGUUGCGUUGAGUUGAGUGGUGGGUUGAGUUGUUGAGCGGCGUUGGGUUGAGUUGCGUUGGGUUGAGUUGUGUUGAGUUGUUGAGCUGCGUUGGGUUGAGUUGCGUGGGGUUGAGUUGUGGGUUGAGUUGUUGAGCUGCGUUGGGUUGAGUUGUGGGUUGAGUUGUUGAGCUGCGUUGGGUUGAGUUGUGGGUUGAGUUGUUGAGCUGCGUUGGGUUGAGUUGUGGGUUGAGUUGUUGAGCUGCGUUGGGUUGAGUUGCGUGGGGUUGAGUUGCGUUGGGUUGAGUUGUUGAGCUGCGUUGGGUUGAGUUGUUGAGCUGCGUUGGGUUGAGUUGUUGAGCUGCGUUGGGUUGAGCUGCGUUGGGUUGAGUUGCGUUGGGUUGAGUUGCGUUGGGUUGAGUUGUUGAGCUGCGUUGGGUUGAGUUGUUGAGCUGCGUUGGGUUGAGUUGCGUUGGGUUGAGUUGCGUUGGGUUGAGUUGUUGAGCUGCGUUGGGUUGAGUUGCGUGGGGUUGAGUUGCGUUGGGUUGAGUUGCGUGGGGUUGAGUUGCGUUGGGUUGAGUUGUUGAGCUGCGUUGGGUUGAGUUGUUGAGCUGCGUUGGGUUGAGUUGCGUUGGGUUGAGUUGUGUUGGGUUGAGUUGUUGAGCUGCGUUGGGUUGAGUUGUGUUGGGUUGAGUUGUUGAGCUGCGUUGGGUUGAGUUGCGUUGGGUUGAGUUGUUGAGCUGCGUUGGGUUGAGUUGCGUGGGGUUGAGUUGCGUUGGGUUGAGCUGCGUUGGGUUGAGUUGCGUUGGGUUGAGUUGCGUUGGGUUGAGUUGCAUUGGGUUGAGUUGUGGGUUGAGUUGUUGAGCUGCGUUGGGUUGAGUUGCGUUGGGUUGAGUUGUGGGUUGAGUUGUUGAGCUGCGUUGGGUUGAGUUGCGUUGGGUUGAGUUGUGGGUUGGGUUGUUGAGCUGCGUUGGGUUGAGCUGCGUUGGGUUGAGUUGCGUUGGGUUGAGUUGUUGAGCUGCGUUGGGUUGAGUUGUGGGUUGAGUUGUUGAGUUGCGUUGGGUUGAGUUGCGUUGGGUUGAGUUGUGGGUUGGGUUGUUGAGUUGCGUUGGGUUGAGUUGCGUUGGGUUGAGUUGUGGGUUGAGUUGUUGAGUUGCGUUGGGUUGAGUUGCGUUGGGUUGAGUUGUGGGUUGAGUUGUUGAGUUGCGUUGGGUUGAGUUGCGUUGGGUUGAGUUGUGGGUUGGGUUGUUGAGUUGCGUUGGGUUGAGUUGUGGGUUGAGUUGUUGAGCUGCGUUGGGUUGGGUUGUGGGUUGAGUUGUUGAGCUGCGUUGGGUUGAGUUGUGGGUUGAGUUGUUGAGCUGCGUUGGGUUGAGUUGUGGGUUGAGUUGUUGAGCUGCGUUGGGUUGAGUUGUGGGUUGAGUUGUUGAGUUGCGUUGGGUUGAGUUGUUGAGCUGCGUUGGGUUGAGUUGUUGAGCUGCGUUGGGUUGGGUUGUGGGUUGAGUUGUUGAGCUGCGUUGGGUUGAGUUGUGGGUUGAGUUGUUGAGUUGCGUUGGGUUGAGUUGUUGAGUUGCGUUGGGUUGAGUUGUUGAGCUGCGUUGGGUUGGGUUGUGGGUUGAGUUGUUGAGCUGCGUUGGGUUGAGUUGUGUUGGGUUGAGUUGUGGGUUGAGUUGUUGAGCUGCGUUGGGUUGAGUUGUUGAGUUGCGUUGGGUUGAGUUGUGUUGGGUUGAGUUGUGGGUUGAGUUGUUGAGUUGCGUUGGGUUGGGUUGUGGGUUGAGUUGUUGAGCUGCGUUGGGUUGAGUUGUUGAGUUGCGUUGGGUUGAGUUGUGGGUUGAGUUGUUGAGUUGCGUUGGGUUGAGUUGUUGAGUUGCGUUGGGUUGAGUUGUUGAGCUGCGUUGGGUUGGGUUGUGGGUUGAGUUGUUGAGCUGCGUUGGGUUGAGUUGUGGGUUGAGUUGUUGAGCUGCGUUGGGUUGAGUUGUUGAGUUGCGUUGGGUUGGGUUGUGGGUUGAGUUGUUGAGCUGCGUUGGGUUGAGUUGUUGAGUUGCGUUGGGUUGAGUUGUUGAGUUGCGUUGGGUUGAGUUGUUGAGCUGCGUUGGGUUGAGUUGUUGAGCUGCGUUGGGUUGAGUUGUGUUGGGUUGAGUUGUGGGUUGAGUUGUUGACCUGCGUUGGGUUGAGUUGUGUUGGGUUGAGUUGCGUUGGGUUGAGUUGUGUUGGGUUGAGUUGUGGGUUGAGUUGUUGAGCUGCGUUGGGGUGGGUUGUGGGGUGAGUUGUUGAGCUGCGUUGGGCUGGAGCUGUGGGUUGAGUUGUGGAGUUGCGUGGGGGUGAGUUGUUGAGUUGCGGUGGGUUGUGUUGUUGAGCUGCGUUGGGUUGAGUUGUGGGGUGAGUUGUUGAGCUGCGUUGGGUUGAGUUGCGUUGGGCUGAGUUGUGGGCUGAGUUGUUGAGCUGCGUUGGGCUGAGUUGUUGAGCUGCGCUGGGCUGAGCUGUGUUGGGCUGAGCUGUGGGCUGAGCUGUUGAGCUGCGCUGGGCUGGGCUGUGGGCUGAGCUGUUGAGCUGCGCUGGGCUGAGCUGUUGAGUUGCGCUGGGCUGAGCUGUGGGCUGAGCUGUUGAGCUGCGUUGGGUUGAGUUGCUGAGCUGCGUUGGGUUGAGUUGUUGAGCUGCGCUGGGCUGGGCUGUGGGUUGAGUUGUUGAGCUGCGUUGGGUUGAGUUGGUGAGUUGCGUUGGGUUGAGUUGUUGAGCUGCGUUGGGUUGAGUUGUUGAGCUGCGCUGGGCCGAGCUGUUGAGCUGCGUUGGGUUGAGUUGAGUUGUGUUGAGUUGUGGGCUGAGUUGUUGAGCUGCGCUGGGCUGAGUUGUGUUGGGCUGAGCUGUGGGCUGAGCUGUUGAGCUGCGCUGGGCUGAGGUGUGGGCUGAGUUGCUGAGCUGCGUUGGGUUGAGUUGCGUUGGGUUGAGUUGUGUUGGGUUGAGUUGUGGGUUGAGUUGUUGAGUUGCGUUGGGUUGAGUUGUGGGUUGAGUUGUUGAGCUGCGUUGGGUUGAGUUGUGGGUUGAGUUGUUGAGUUGCGUUGGGUUGAGUUGUUGAGCUGCGUUGGGUUGAGUUGCGUUGGGUUGAGUUGUGUUGGGUUGAGUUG
rnacentral:lncRNA from 1 species